CGACUAAGCGUUCACGGUGGAUGCCCUGGCAGUCAGAGGCGAUGAAGGACGUGCUAAUCUGCGAAAAGCGUCGGUAAGGUGAUAUGAACCGUUACAGCCGGCGAUGUCCGAAUGGGGAAACCCAGUGUGAUUCGUCACACUAUCGUUAACUGAAUACAUAGGUUAACGAGGCGAACCGGGGGAACUGAAACAUCUAAGUACCCCGAGGAAAAGAAAUCAACCGA
rnacentral:rRNA from 1 species